rnacentral:rRNA from 1 species
GAGGAAGGUGGGGACGACGUCAAGUCAUCAUGGUCCUUACGCCCAGGGCUACACACGUGCUACAAUGGGAGAUACAGAGGGUAGCUACACGGUAACGUGAUGCCAAUCUCAAAAAGUCUCUCUCAGUUCGGAUUGAGGUCUGCAACUCGACCUCAUGAAGCUGGAAUCGCUAGUAAUCGCGCAUCAGCCAUGGCGCGGUGAAUACGUUCCCGGGCCUUGUACACACCGCCCGUCACACCAUGGAAGUUGGCC